rnacentral:rRNA from 1 species
CACGUAGGGGGCAAGCGUUGUCCGGAUUUAUUGGGCGUAAAGAGCUCGUAGGCGGUUCGGUAAGUCGGGUGUGAAACCUCCAGGCUCAACCUGGAGUCGCCACUCGAUACUGCUGUGACUAGAGUCCGGUAGGGGAGCGUGGAAUUCCUGGUGUAGCGGUGAAAUGCGCAGAUAUCAGGAGGAACACCAGCGGCGAAGGCGGCGCUCUGGGCCGGAACUGACACUGAGGAGCGAAAGCGUGGGGAGCAAACAGG